ACGUAGGAGGCAAACGUUAUCCGGAUUUACUGGGCGUAAAGCGCGUGUAGGUGGUUCUGUAAGUAGGGCGUGAAAGCUCCUGGCUCAACUGGGAGAGGCCGUUCUAAACUGCAGAGCUAGAGGAUGGUAGAGGGAGGUGGAAUUCCGGGUGCAGCGGUUGAAUGCGCAGAUAUCCGGCGGAACACCAGAGGCGAGAGCGGCCUCCUGGACGAUUCCUGAUACUCAGACGCGUAAGCUAGGGUAGGGAACGG
rnacentral:rRNA from 1 species